rnacentral:ncRNA from 1 species
AAGGGGUGCUGGGUGUUCCCGGCUGAGACGGAGCGAAUCGAAGCUCCGGUACCCUCAAACCUGAUCCGGAUAAUGCCGGCGUAGGAAACAUCAGAU